rnacentral:lncRNA from 1 species
GUGAGAUAACAUUUUGGAAAUGUAACGAACAAAACAACAGCAACAACAAAAAAAAUGAUGUUUGGUAAGUUUCAGUUUGAUGCAAGCCCAGAUAUCAGGAAAUUCCAGUUCCACAGAUGCUCUACCAGCACCGGAAAGGAAGAAAAUGGAGACACAUAUACAAAAGGUUAUUCUACAGUAGCACUGUACAACGUGGCAGACAGCCACAAAACAUCGGAUGACCUCCAGUUACCCAACCAUCUCCAUCUGCCUAGAAAGACACAGCCUGCCAGAAACAGCAGGAAAAGCAUGGAUGCUUCUCCAGAAGUCAAGCCAUUUUGGCAUCCUGCCAGAGUCAUCAGGCCGUGCUUGUUUCCAGCAUGACAUUGUGCUAAGCUAAUUCUGGGUGCUGCCUGGCAAACUUGCCACACGCUGCAAUUGUGAGUGCUUCAAGGAAGUGGGUGAGUGAAACCAAUAUGAACCAAUGCUUGAAUGGUGAAAAAAAACCAAACAUGUAGUCAACUUUACUUUCUGCUUGUCUUUAGUAAAAUACAAGUUCUCUGUGCCUCAUCCCCACAGGAUGAAAAAGGAUGGUAUCAUGGAAGUACACCGUACUCCACAGCGAGACGGCUCCACCAGAGUAGAUAACCCUCAGGAAACACACAUCACACAGAGCAGGAGGCUCUCACCAGUGUUUCUUGUCUGCUUUCAUGGCAUCAAUCGGCUUUGGAGGAAUGCAUCUUUCCUUCUAAAUAUGCUAAUAUUCAUAAGUACCCUGACCACAAGUACCACAUCUGAAACUCUAGCCCAGCCCUGUCAUGUCUGUAUCCAUCUGAAGGGAAUUUGUUGAAUGUAAAGAGUAUUCCAUCUCACUGCAUUUUGGUCCUAAAGUCACCUCUAUUCACUUUUAUCUGCAAGCAAUCAUUCCAAGCAAAACAAUUACAGGGACCUGACUAAUGACACCGACUUUCCUCCUCUCUAAAUAAACAUGAGCAGGAGUAAAACUGAAGAAAAAUAGCAGUUCUGUUGAAAAGUCCUGAUUGCAUACUCAUGGAAACUUUUAAGAGGCUAAUAAAUAAGACCAUCUGAGUGAAUGAGGCUUUUAUUCUCAGGUUGACGCUGCAGUGGCUGAAACUGAUAUUCAGCCAAGUUAAUAUUAGGCACUUUUACUAGAACUGAACUCUCCUAUUAGGCAGUCACUAUGCCUAUUCUGAAGCAAAAGCUUCUGCUAAUUUGGGAUUAAUACUGCAUACUGAUCGGGUGUGAGGACAACGAAAGAGGAGUUCAAAAGCAAUUGUAUCUGCCAAUUUGAAAACAUACUUUCUAAGUUUGGUUAACAGAACAGCAAACAGAAGACAACAAAUCUCCGAAGAGAAAACUCUUUCACAUGUGUGGAAACAAUUGCACACCAAGGACUUCUGGAGGGAGGUUCCCAGAUAAGUAAGCCAGCUGAGGUUGCCUCUGUGCUAAUGAGCAGGAUGCAGUGCUCUCACUCUCCUGACACAGGCAAGCCAGGAGCCAAAGCGUGUGCCUUUUACAAUACUGCUGAUUUUUUAAAACUAAUUUAUGCUGCAUCAUAGCAUGAGGAUGGCAAUGCUUUGCCAGUACAUGGCACCUUUGCUCACAUAAUCUGCAUGAACCUUUUUACACUGGUUAGCAUAUAAAUAAAUAAAUAAAUCUUGUGUAACUUUGCAAAAUUCCCGAUCUACAUUGAUUUGUUCUGACACUACAUAAGCCAAGCCCCAAUUUACACCAAAGAACAAAAACACAGCUAUAACUUUCCAAAAUGUAUACAUCAAACUCCGUAUCUACAUUUAAAUUUUCACAUGUAUUCACUUAUAUUCAGGAACCUUCAAAAGGUUUAAGCUGACCAUUUCAGUACUAAUGAAAUCAAAUUCAUGACCGCUGUGGAAACAGAUGAAGCUUCAUUCAUUAUUUGGCCAACAUCACAAACAAGAAACAAAACCGAAAAUAUAACCAAUGUAAUACAGGAAGCAAAGCC